CCUACGGGGGGCAGCAGUAGGGAAUAUUGCUCAAUGGGGGAAACCCUGAUGCAGCGACGCCGCGUGAGUGAUGAAGUAUUUCGGUACGUAAAGCCCUUUUUGUAGGGAAGUAAAUGACGGUACCUGACGAAGAAGCCCCGGCUAACUACGUGCCAGCAGCCGCGGUAAUACGCAGGGGGCAAGCGUUAUUCGGAUUCACUGGGCGUAAAGGGAGCGUAGGCGGGAUAGCAAGUCCGGAGUGAAAUCCUAUGGCUUAACCAUGGAACUGCAUUGGAAACUGUGAAGCUGGAGUGUGGGAGAGGUAAGCGGAAUUCGUGGUGUAGGGGUGAAAUGCGUAGAGAUUAGGAGGAACACUGAUUGCGAAGGCGGCCUGCUGG
rnacentral:rRNA from 1 species